rnacentral:rRNA from 1 species
AUGCAAGUCGAGCGAGCUGAAUUCAAAGAUCCCUUCGGGGUGAUUUGUUGGACGCUAGCGGCGGAUGGGUGAGUAACACGUGGGCAAUCUGCCCUAAAGACUGGGAUACCACUUGGAAACAGGUGCUAAUACCGGAUAACAACAUGAAUCGCAUGAUUCAAGUUUGAAAGGCGGCGCAAGCUGUCACUUUAGGAUGAGCCCGCGGCGCAUUAGCUAGUUGGUGGGGUAAAGGCCUACCAAGGCAAUGAUGCGUAGCCGAGUUGAGAGACUGAUCGGCCACAUUGGGACUGAGACACGGCCCAAACUCCUACGGGAGGCAGCAGUAGGGAAUCUUCCACAAUGGACGCAAGUCUGAUGGAGCAACGCCGCGUGAGUGAAGAAGGUCUUCGGAUCGUAAAGCUCUGUUGUUGGUGAAGAAGGAUAGAGGCAGUAACUGGUCUUUAUUUGACGGUAAUCAACCAGAAAGUCACGGCUAACUACGUGCCAGCAGCCGCGGUAAUACGUAGGUGGCAAGCGUUGUCCGGAUUUAUUGGGCGUAAAGCGAGCGCAGGCGGAAUGAUAAGUCUGAUGUGAAAGCCCACGGCUCAACCGUGGAACUGCAUCGGAAACUGUCAUUCUUGAGUGCAGAAGAGGAGAGUGGAACUCCAUGUGUAGCGGUGGAAUGCGUAGAUAUAUGGAAGAACACCAGUGGCGAAGGCGGCUCUCUGGUCUGCAACUGACGCUGAGGCUCGAAAGCAUGGGUAGCGAACAGGAUUAGAUACCCUGGUAGUCCAUGCCGUAAACGAUGAGCGCUAGGUGUUGGGGACUUUCCCGGUCCUCAGUGCCGCAGCAAACGCAUUAAGCGCUCCGCCUGGGGAGUACGACCGCAAGGUUGAAACUCAAAGGAAUUGACGGGGCCCGCACAAGCGGUGGAGCAUGUGGUUAAUUCGAAGCAACGCGAGAACCUUACCAGGUCUUGACAUCCUGCGCUACACCUAGAGAUAGGUGGUUUCCCUUCGGGGACGCAGAGAACAGGUGGUGCAUGGCUGUCGUCAGCCUCGUGUCGUGAGAUGUGGGGUUA